AGAGUUUGAUCCUGGCUCAGAUUGAACGCUGGCGGAAUGCUUUACACAUGCAAGUCGAACGGCAGCACGGGUGCUUGCACCUGGUGGCGAGUGGCGAACGGGUGAGUAAUGCGUCGGAACGUACCGAGUAAUGGGGGAUAACGCAGCGAAAGUUGUGCUAAUACCGCAUACGCCCUGAGGGGGAAAGUGGGGGACCGCAAGGCCUCACGUUAUUCGAGCGGCCGACGUCUGAUUAGCUAGUUGGUGGGGUAAAGGCCUACCAAGGCGACGAUCAGUAGCGGGUCUGAGAGGAUGAUCCGCCACACUGGGACUGAGACACGGCCCAGACUCCUACGGGAGGCAGCAGUGGGGAAUUUUGGACAAUGGGGGCAACCCUGAUCCAGCCAUUCCGCGUGAGUGAAGAAGGCCUUCGGGUU
rnacentral:rRNA from 1 species